GGACGGGGCCCGCACAAGGCGGUGGAGCAUGUGGUUUAAUUCGAAGCAACGCGCAGAACCUUUACCUACCCUUGACAUGUCCAGUAUGGUUUUCCAGAGAUGGAUUCCUUCAGUUCGGCUGGCUGGGAACACAAGGUGCUGCAUGGCUGUCGUCAGCUCGUGUCGUGAGAUGUUGGGUUAAGUCCCGCAACGAGCGCAACCCUCAUCCUUAGUUGCCAUCACGUUUGGGUGGGCACUCUAAGGAAACUGCCGGUGGCAAGCCGGAGGAAGGUGGGGAUGACGUCAAGUCCUCAUGGCCCUUACGGGUAGGGCUACACACGUGCUACAAUGGCAGUGACAAUGGGAUAAUCCCAAAAAGCUGUCUCAGUUCGGAUUGUCGUCUGCAACUCGACGGCAUGAAGGUGGAAUCGCUAGUAAUCGUGGAUCAGCAUGCCACGGUGAAUACGUUCCCGGGCCUU
rnacentral:rRNA from 1 species